UACGAAGGGGGCUAGCGUUGCUCGGAAUGACUGGGCGUAAAGGGCGCGUAGGCGGAUGGCACAGUCAGAUGUGAAAUUCCCGGGCUUAACCUGGGGGCUGCAUUUGAUACGUGUUGUCUUGAGUUCGGAAGAGGGUCGUGGAAUUCCCAGUGUAGAGGUGAAAUUCGUAGAUAUUGGGAAGAACACCGGUGGCGAAGGCGGCGACCUGGUCCGACACUGACGCUGAGACGCGAGGGCGUGGGGAGCGAACGGG
rnacentral:rRNA from 1 species